AUUGAACGCUGGCGGCAUGCUUUACACAUGCAAGUCGAACGGCAGCGCGGGCUUCGGCCUGGCGGCGAGUGGCGAACGGGUGAGUAAUACAUCGGAACGUGCCCAGUAGUGGGGGAUAGCUCGGCGAAAGCCGGAUUAAUACCGCACACGACCUGAGGGUGAAAGCGGGGGAUCUUCGGACCUCGCGCUAUUGGAGCGGCCGAUGGCAGAUUAGCUAGUUGGUGGGGUAAAGGCCUACCAAGGCGACGAUCUGUAGCUGGUCUGAGAGGGCGACCAGCCACACUGGGACUGAGACACGGCCCAGACUCCUACGGGAGGCAGCAGUGGGGAAUUUUGGACAAUGGGCGAAAGCCUGAUCCAGCAAUGCCGCGUGUGUGAUGAAGGCCUUCGGGUUGUAAAGCACUUUUGGCGGGAACGAAAAGGACUGUGCCAAUACCACGGUUCGAUGACGGUACCCGCAGAAUAAGCACCGGCUAACUACGUG
rnacentral:rRNA from 1 species